GUGCCAGCAGCCGCGGUAAUACAGAGGGGGCAAGCGUUAUUCGGAAUUAUUGGGCGUAAAGGGCGCGUAGGCGGCCUGGCAAGUGAAAGGUGAAAUCCCUCGGCUUAACCGAGGAACUGCCUUUCAGACUGCUUGGCUUGAGACCGGGAGAGGUGAGUGGAAUUCCCAGUGUAGCGGUGAAAUGCGUAGAUAUUGGGAGGAACACCAGUGGCGAAGGCGGCUCACUGGACCGGUACUGACGCUGAGGCGCGAAAGCGUGGGGAGCAAACGGGAUUAGAAACCCUAGUAGUCC
rnacentral:rRNA from 1 species